GGCAGAGGGUGCAAGCGUUAAUCGGAUUUACUGGGCGUAAAGCGUGCGUAGGCGGUUUGUUAAGUCGGUUGUGAAAGCCCUGGGCUUAACCUGGGAAUUGCAGUCGAUACUGGCAGGCUAGAGAACGGUAGAGGGAGGCGGAACUCCAGGUGUAGCGGUGAAAUGCGUAGAUAUCUGGAAGAACACCGAUGGCGAAGGCAACCUCCUGGUCCUGUUCUGACGCUGAGGCACGAAAGCGUGGGUAGCAAACAGG
rnacentral:rRNA from 1 species